rnacentral:misc_RNA from 1 species
AAGUCGUAACAAGGUUUCCGUAGGUGAACCUGCGGAAGGAUCAUUAUCACAAAAUGAUUUUAGCUUUGUCCCAAAUUAAUCCUUGGGUCAAGCUAACCUCUUCUCUUAAACCAAUUUAAUUCAAAUGUGAAACUGUUCAGUUGUUUUUUUUUAUGAUGAUCGGCUCUAAGCCUUUCAAAACAAAAAACACAACAUUUUUAACCAAUUGAACCCUAAUAAUUUUUUAGUUAUUUUAUUUAAUUUAGUUCUGAAAUAUUAUUAUAGAAACCUCACUCUUUUGUGUGUUUUCUUAUAAUAAAUUACAUUACGAAACAAUUAUCAAUAAAACAACUCUUAGCAACGGAUAUCUUGGUUCUC